UACGGAGGGUGCAAGCGUUGUCCGGAUUUAUUGGGUUUAAAGGGUGCGUGAGGCGGUUCUUUAAGUCUGGGGUGAAAGCCCGUUGCUCAACAACGGAACUGCCCUGGAAACUGGCGAACUUGAGUACAGACGAGGGUGGCGGAAUGGAUGGUGUAGCGGUGAAAUGCAUAGAUACCAUCCAGAACCCCCGAUUGCGAAGCAGCGU
rnacentral:rRNA from 1 species